ACAACAAUGGACCUUCGGUCUACCGAGCAAAUAUCACUCGGUGGAAGAUCUUUCCUUUGUUGU
rnacentral:pre_miRNA from 1 species